UACGUAGGGGGCUAGCGUUGUCCGGAAUCAUUGGGCGUAAAGAGCGUGUAGGCGGUCCGGUAAGUCCGUUGUGAAAGUCAGGGGCUCAACCCUUGAAUGCCGGCGGAUACUGUCGGGCUAGAGUCCGGAAGAGGCGAGUGGAAUUCCCGGUGUAGCGGUGAAAUGCGCAGAUAUCGGGAGGAACACCUAUGGCGAAGGCAGCUCGCUGGGACGGUACUGACGCUGAGGCGCGAAAGCUAGGGGAGCAAACGGG
rnacentral:rRNA from 1 species